rnacentral:rRNA from 1 species
GGGGUAACCGCUGAAAGCAUCUAAGCGGGAAACCCUCCCCGAAAAUAGGCGGCCGUUCCCCCUGAAAAGGGGGACGAGGGCUCCCGUAGAAGACGGGGUUGAUGGGGCGGGGGUGUAAGCCCCAAGGGAGCUUAGCUCCCGAGGGGUGAGCCCGCCGCUCCCAAUCGCCCGAGG